rnacentral:tRNA from 1 species
GGAGAGGUGCCGGAGCGGUUGAACGGGCCCGUCUCGAAAAUGGGUAUAGCCUUAUGGCUAUCGAGGGUUCGAAUCCCUCCCUCUCCG